CUGAGACGUCUGUCAGCUCCUCGCAAAGACACAUCGACAACCCCGGUAUUCAGCCAAUAGUUAUUAGUGUUUCAUCUGGAUGUGAUCAAUGGCUGUAAAUCACUCCACAGAGGAGCUGUAUUGAUUUCUGAUUGGUUCUCUCCAUGUGUCGUGUCCUCAUCAUUAACUUCAUGCUCACUUUGUUUCGUCAGGAACAAUCUGCUGAUUCUCCAAAAACCACCUUUUAAUCAGAUUCAAAUAAAAACGCCUGAAACUUUAGAAAUAAGUAAUAAUCUGGAUUAGAAAUUAAAAGGAUAAAGAUCACACAGCUCUAACGAAGGUUGUCUGUUACAAUUUAGUAACGGUCUGUUAUCCUCUAAUAAAG